rnacentral:rRNA from 1 species
AGAGUUUGAUCAUGGCUCAGAACGAACGCUGGCGGCGUGCUUAACACAUGCAAGUCGAGUGCGCGGUUGUAGCAAUACAACUGGCGCACGGCGCACGGGUGCGUAACACGUGGGUAAUCUGCCCUCUGAUGGGGAAUAACUCGCCGAAAGGCGAGCUAAUUCCGCAUAAUAUUCCGAAGACCAUGUUUUUGGACUGAAAGGCGUAAGUCGUCGGAGGAGGAGCCCGCGCACGAUUAGCUAGUUGGUAGGGUAAUGGCCUACCAAGGCUGUGAUCGUUAGCUGGUCUGAGAGGAUGGCCAGCCACACUGGAACUGAGACACGGUCCAGACUCCUACGGGAGGCAGCAGUGGGGAAUCUUGCACAAUGGGCGAAAGCCUGAUGCAGCGACGCCGCGUGGGGGAUGAAGCUUCUCGGAGUGUAAACCCCUUUCGAUCCGGACGAAUGCCCGCAAGGGAUUGACGGUACGGAUAUAAGAAGCCCCGGCUAACUACGUGCCAGCAGCCGCGGUAAGACGUAGGGGGCCAGCGUUGUUCGGAAUUACUGGGUGUAAAGGGUUCGUAGGCGGUGUGGCAAGUUGGGAGUGAAAUCUCUGGGCUCAACCCAGAGGCUGCUUCCAAAACUGCCGUGCUUGAGUGUGGGAGAGGCUCGUGGAAUUGCAGGUGUAGCGGUGAAAUGCGUAGAUAUCUGCAGGAACACCCGUGGCGAAAGCGGCGAGCUGGACCACUACUGACGCUGAAGAACGAAAGCUAGGGGAGCAAACAGGAUUAGAUACCCUGGUAGUCCUAGCCCUAAACGAUCAGGACUUGGGGUGCCACCCGUUCGGGUGGCGUCCCGGAGCUAACGCGUUAAGUCCUGCACCUGGGGAGUACGGUCGCAAGACUGAAACUCAAAGGAAUUGACGGGGCCCGCACAAGCGGUGGAACAUGUGGUUCAAUUCGACGCUACGCGAGGAACCUUACCUGGGCUCGAAAUGCUAGUGACCAG